rnacentral:rRNA from 1 species
GUGCCAGCCGCCGCGGUAAUACGUAGGUCCCGAGCGUUGUCCGGAUUUAUUGGGCGUAAAGCGAGCGCAGGCGGUUAGAUAAGUCUGAAGUUAAAGGCUGUGGCUUAACCAUAGUACGCUUUGGAAACUGUUUAACUUAAGUGCAAGAGGGGAGAGUGGAAUUCCAUGUGUAGCGGUGAAAUGCGUAGAUAUAUGGAGGAACACCGGUGGCGAAAGCGGCUCUCUGGCUUGUAACUGACGCUGAGGCUCGAAAGCGUGGGGAGCAAACAG